CUCACGUGGAUGACAAGCCCCCACCCCUGCCUCCCUCCCGCUCGCUGAUGAAGACAGCUCCAUCCCCUUCCCAAGGCUGCCACUCAAGCUGUCACCAAGGCCAGCCUAUUCGGAGAGCAGUCCUGAUAUAAGAUUCCCCCCGAGCUGCCUGGGGUUCGCCCACGCACACAAGGCAGCUGAGGCUCACAGCUCCCUCUCCCCGGGUGUCGGCUGGAGGGGGGCUGUGCAGGAUUUUGGGAAGGGAGGGGUCAAUCUUGUUUCUAGGCACCCAGAGUCCCCUUCUUCGUGAGCUGAGAGGGGCUGGGUGUUGAAGGUGCUGCAGCUUUUGGGGGCAACAAGGAACAAAAUGAGAUGGACACAGACCAGCCUGGUGGGGCUGGAAACGAGCUGAGCUUUCAGCCCUGCAUCCGUCGGGGCAACAUCCUUGACUCUUUCAUAUUUCUUCGCUAUCUGGCUCUGCUCUGUCUGCUAAGAUAAAAAUAAAAUAACCUUUGAGAUGGAGCCAGGACUGGCCAAGUUCCUUCUGCCAGCUGUCCCUAUAACAACCAUCAUCCCUGGAAUUUAACUAGUGCCUUUCCAUGGGAAAUCAAAGCCCUUCAUAAAGGCAGGCGUACAGGAGAAACCAACCUGGCUCAUCAUCAGAAGAUGGUACACAGCCUUGGCCUUCAUAAAACUGGCGUCUCACUCGAAUCUGAUCAUCGUUUGGUGGCCUGUGUGUAAUGAGUUUGGUGGAUCUCAGCCAGUUUCCAAUGGACAAGUGCCUGCAUCACCACAGUUGACAUCCGCUGCUCCCUUCGUCAUCAGCCCAGCAGAGAGGCCAAGGACUUUGUGGGCUGUAGAGGCUGAAUGCCCCUUUCGCCAGCAGAAUGGGGACUCCUCUAGGGCAGGAUUUGGGUGUGGGGAGGUUUGUGACACACAUAUGGGGCUUGGGGAAACUAGCCCUGCUACUCCCUGUUCUGGGGCUAAAGAGAGGGAUUCAGCUGUCUGGGUUUUGAAUCCGGCACCUUGCCCUAGCCCCUAAAAACCAACCCCAGCUUGUUUAUAAGGGAGGAAGAGAAGGAGGGGGCGAGGUGUUUUCUGAAGAACAAAGGAAGUAAAGACUUACAUCAAGGACCAAGAUACAGAAGCUUCUGUCACCAGGAUGUCCCAAAUGCCUGGAAGGAAUAAGGGGCUCGACACCUAGCUGGUGUCAAUCAUCUUAGGGUCAGGACUAGAAUCCAACAGCCCAGCCCACUGGACCAGCAGUUUGAUUACCAUUGUCCCUGCUACCUCUAACCACUAGACUAAACUCCCUGCGAGACCUGGGAACAAACCCUAAUAGUCCUGGCUCCCAGUCCCCCCUCCAGCCACUAAAUACUCCCCCAGAGUGAGGAAAGGAACCCAGGAGUCCUGACUUCCACAGUAUCUCAUAGACCAUACUUCCAUCCUAUGUGGGGCAUUUUUCCCUCUUUUUUGGGGUGUGUGUGUGUGUGUCAAUUAUUAAGUAAAGGAGAAAUCUGUUCCAUUAAAUAUUUUUUAAAAAUUGGAGCCAAGCAGCUUCCAUUUUCCUGUCCCUGCCUGGUGUUCAGUCCCUUAGCUCAGAACAACCAGUGAAAUAGCUCACACCGAUUUAGCAUAAAUGCCAGGGUUUGGCUGGGUUUUGGGGCAAAAUGUAAAAGGCCCAUCAUCUGGGGUCCUUGUACUUCCGCCCGCAAAGACGGAGAGACCUAAUCUAGCUCUUGAGUAUUUCGCCUCCUCUCUUCAAACCAGGGCUGCCCCAGGCUGAGAUCUCCAAUCGCAAACGUUCUGGGUGAGCCCCGGCCCUCCAUAGUGCCAAGAGGGACUUAGGGACCCAGAGUCCACCCACCCCCCCACCAACAAGAACCAUUAUCUCUCCACCCUAGGAAACUGGCCGCCAGGCAGCACAACAAGCCUGAGCAAGACAGGCGAGGCCAUUUUGAUUGUGGUGGUUGCCUUGGCAACGGGAGAAGGCCAAGGUCUCUGUGCAGAGAACGGCAGCAUGUUCUUCCCUGGGUCCCAAAUAAAGGGAUCAAGAGGAUUUGCUGAUAACACUUCACUUCCUGUGUGCAUGUGGGGUUCUCAAUGAUCAAAGAACAAACACCUCAGGGAGGGUCAUUUGCAGCAACGAUCCCAAACCGGAACCCCACAUUCAAACUUGAGGGCACCCAGGAAACUGAGUCUAGAUUUGCUGUUCCAAUCCACAGAACAGAUCUCGCCCAUGCAGAAUACUCCUAACCACGGGAAUAUUUGAAACCCGGGUGCUGUGAUAGAGGGGCAUCAGACUCUGUCUGGAGUAAGGGCUUGGAUUUCUUCUCUAAUAACAAUUUUGUCCUUCGCUAGGACAUUUCCUCUGAGGAUCUCAACGCACUUAUUCCCUCAGAGCCCAUGAGGACGAUCAAGGUGGACAAACUCUUAAGUAAGAAUCUCGUAACUUCACCACCACUGGGAGGACGCCUGUAGCCCAGACCCUUUGCGAGGAGCUCCCACCUAGAGGGGAUAGGAGCACUAGGAGCUGAUUCUCACAGUAAAACCCCGUUAGGUCUAUUUAGAAAUUAAUUUGCAUGCAUCUUACUGCUAGAGUGGUUUAAAAGGGGCCUUUGUAAAAAUGAGACUAAAAGCCCAGGGUCUCCAGCUGUCUCCUUACCACCAGGCACUGGGAGACCCAAGAACCAGCUGCCUGGGUCAGAACCACUAAUAAAAGCAGCCUUUGUGGAA